CGUACUGCCCGGCCGCUGCCACCCUACUGCCAAGAUGGCGACCCACAGGAGCUGCGCUCUAUGGAGCUACUGCGGUCGUAGGUGGUCGCGGCUGAUGCGGUGCUGCCGGCUCCCCGGGUUUCGUAGCUCCUGGCCCAGGGGCCCGCUGGGUGCGCGGCACUUGUCCCAAGAGAAGCAGGCAACGGAAACACAUUUCGGGUUUGAGACUGUGUCGGAGAAGGAGAAGGGGGGCAAAGUCUAUCAUGUGUUUGAAAGUGUGGCCAAGAAGUAUGAUGUGAUGAAUGAUAUGAUGAGUCUUGGUAUCCAUCGUAUUUGGAAGGAUUUGCUGCUCUGGAAGAUGCACCCGUUUCCUGGGACCCAGCUGCUCGAUGUUGCUGGAGGCACAGGUGACAUUGCAUUCCGGUUCCUUAAUUAUGUCCAGGCACAGCAUAAGAGAAAGCAGAAGAGGCAGUUACGGGCCCAGCAAAAUGUAUCCUGGGAAGAAAUUGCCAAAAAGUACCAAAAUGAAGAGGACCCCUUGGGCGGUUCCCGGGUAGUGGUCUGUGACAUCAACAAGGAGAUGCUAAAGAUUGGAAAGCAGAAAGCCCGUGCUCAAGGACACAAAGCUGGACUUGCUUGGGUAUUGGGAGAUGCUGAAGAGCUGCCCUUUGAUGAUGACAAGUUUGAUGUUUACACUAUUGCCUUUGGGAUCCGAAAUGUCACACACAUUGAUCAGGCACUCCAGGAAGCCCAUCGAGUCCUGAAACCCGGAGGUCGGUUUCUCUGUCUGGAGUUUAGUCAAGUCAACAAUCCUCUCAUAUCCAGGCUUUAUGAUCUAUAUAGCUUCCAGGUCAUUCCUGUCCUGGGAGAGGUCAUCGCUGGAGAUUGGAAGUCCUACCAAUAUCUUGUAGAAAGUAUCCGACAGUUCCCAUCUCAGGAGGAGUUCAAAGAGAUGAUAGAAGAUGCAGGUUUUGAGAAGGUGACUUAUGAAAGUCUCACAUCAGGCAUUGUGGCUAUUCAUUCUGGAUUCAAACUGUAACUCCUUUAUCAUUCUGGAGUGUGAACCGGUCACAUCCUGUUGAAAGCCUGGGACUGAAGGAUAAUCUGGCUAGUGAGACCGGCAGCAGAACAUCCCCUCUAAGGAUGUGUGCCUUGGACUCAUGUUCUGACGUGAUGAGUCUCCAAGUGGAAGAAACAGAUUCUGCUGCAGCUUUCACUAGGAGCUGCUUCAGGGCUUCUCCCAGAGCUAAAGAAAACUUCGAUAAAGCUCUACACAUUCAUCAACUCCACCUGAGGCCCUAAGUCCAGAACAGCAUCUUUUAACAAAAUAAGCAUGAAGGAUAGUAUUUAUCAGAUUAGCAGUAAAAUUUAACCCAAGUUUCUCUGCCAUGCAUCUAACACGCACUUCUGAGCAGUAUUCUUCCACGCACGACAGCUGCAGGACGGGGAAGAUUGAAGGCUCAAGAGCACUAUGAAGAGGCUGGUCUUAUAUACCACAGAAACUCACUUCAAGGACUGACCCCCACUAACCUACUCAAGAUCAAGGGAUAGGCCAUUCUCAACCCUAGAUUUGAACAAAUCGUAGCUAACACACACUUCUCCAACAGAUUUAUUUUGAAAGGAAUGGAUUUUGAGGAGAAAAUACAUGGGGAAGAGGUAUGGAAUAGAAAAUAAAUACAAAUGUAAGCUGUUUUGCUAAUUGUUUUAUAACCACAACAAAUUUGUACAGAGAAUGCCCUGUACAAAACAACACAAUAAAGGU